UACGUAGGUGGCAAGCGUUAUCCGGAUUUACUGGGUGUAAAGGGCGUGUAGGCGGGACUGCAAGUCAGAUGUGAAAACCACGGGCUCAACCUGUGGCCUGCAUUUGAAACUGUAGUUCUUGAGUACUGGAGAGGCAGACGGAAUUCCUAGUGUAGCGGUGAAAUGCGUAGAUAUUAGGAGGAACACCAGUGGCGAAGGCGGCUUACUGGACGGCAACUGACGCUGAGGCUCGAAAGCGUGGGGAGCAAACAGG
rnacentral:rRNA from 1 species